rnacentral:misc_RNA from 1 species
GAGAUAUUGAUUAAAAUAAUUAAUGAUGUUUCAUAAAUAUAUUUUAAAUAGAAGAGGUUUCAAAUUUUAAAAUGUGACUUAUUAUUGAAGCUAAUGUAUUUGAGAGAAAUCUUUAUGUUUUCAUAUAUUAGAUUCUUUGUACAUGCUCUUAUUUAGAUACAAGUGAUUAUCCUAAUAAGGAAACUAAGAUAAAUAGGAAAAAAAUAAUAUAAUAGGAAAGAAUAAUCAAAU